rnacentral:rRNA from 1 species
UACAGAGGAGCCAAGCGUUGUCCGGAUUGACUGGGCGUAAAGCGCACGCAGGCGGAUGUGCGCGUGGGGUGUGAAAUCUGGCCGCUUAACGGCCAGGCGCCAUCCCAUACGGCACGUCUGGAGGGCUGCAGAGGUCGAUGGAAUUGCCGGUGUAGUGGUGAAAUGCGUAGAUAUCGGGAGGAACACCAGUGGCGAAGGCGACUACCUGGCCUGUUUCUUGACGCUGAGGCGCGAAAGCUAGGGGAGCAAACGGG